UCAUAAUUGUGGAAAUUUUCUCGGGAUC
rnacentral:piRNA from 1 species